GCUGACGACAAUAGCAAGAUGGAACCACCUGAUCCCUUCCCGAACUCAGAAGUGAAACGUCUUAGCGCCGAUGGUAGUGU
rnacentral:rRNA from 1 species